GAAGGGGAGUACUCUCCUGAGUCCCCCUGGGAGGUGUGUCAGGUCAGCGUCACUGACGCCGACCAUAGUAACGACGACAGAGUCAUGUUGUCCAUGUCUUCCACUGACCCAAACCUUCCCUUCCGAAUCACAGAGGAUGGAAAUAUGUUGGCCGUGUCCCUCUUAGAUCGGGAAGCCCGAGAUUUCUACGAGAUUGUGCUCUUGGCCUCUGACAAUGGGACCCCACCAAGAAUGAACAUCAGCGCCAUCAGAAUUAGCAUCACGGAUAUAAAUGACAAUGAACCCAUCUUCAGCCAGGAGGUCUAUUCCACAAGCAUUCUCGUGAAGGAUGCCAAAGAGGGAGACAAGAUUUUGACAUUGUCAGCAACAGACAAGGACAUUGGCAACAACUCGC
rnacentral:lncRNA from 1 species